GCUAGUCUCCCUGCUCUUUCUAGGACAGAGUCAGUGGACUCAGGACAGAAAACAGCAUGAGCAAGACCAUAAUGGAAAAGAUACCGCAAGGUACAAUACAAUGCAAUAGCGUAUUGCAUAAGGUACUACUGCUGUGGUUAUGAGAGCUCUAGGCUGAUCAAGGACAAGGAAGGGCAAGAUUCCACUACUACAUCUAGAGAAAGCUCCCUUUUGUCUGGUGGCAGCGAGAUCUAAUCACUAUUCCAGCCUGCAUAAUACAUCUGCAUCUAAAUACAGGCGUUUCAGGGUGCAUCUCUCUUUUUAAAGGAGGCUCACAGUGAAGCUCUGUGCUGCAACUUGAAAAGGCAGCCAGCACCCAGCCUGCAACAGGGAGAGGGAUGGAGCUCACAAGCCUUCAAGUGUCCUUUCCUCCUCCUGCAGGGCAAAGUCUACAGGGUGAAAAAAAACCCAGAGCAGGUCCCUCCUGGAUGCUGCUGCCCAGGACCUCCAUGCUUCUGUGUGAUACUACACCACUGUGUGCCCUGUUUGCCAGCACUAAGAAUGGCUGCUCAGAGGACCGUUAGACACUGUUUCCCUCUUCUUACAUCACAGAAUUUGUCUAUUCAUAAUUGUACCUGGGAUUAUUACAAUCUCUUUAAAUCUC